CUCAGAUGGGCGAAGGCCUUUCCCUCUCACAGCUGGCCAACAAACUUCCGGUCCUGCCAACUGUGGGAAACUGCUUCAAUCCAAACCUUCUACUCAGCUUGGGACAACUUGGAUAAUUAAGCAGGAAGCCACGGAGUAUGGCGUUACAUUCUGCUUAUGUGUCUGCCAUAAAGUGACGCUAUGAAAUCCAGCCACCAGCUCAAAGUAAUAAGGCUACUGAUUAGGACAAAGACUGUGAGAGAUUCCUGCAGCUCUCAGAUCUCAUCAGAGACGUUUCUUUGUACAGUGGAUAGUGGUCAAUGUAGAGAUUCACACCUGGACAAAUUGCAGAGAAUGAGCAGCUGUGGCCUAGCCACCAACAGGCCAUCUAGACCACAGCCCUUCCCAAGGCUCAGCAGAAAGAAUGUCAGAGUUGGCGUUCAGGGAGGACCAGAGAGAAAUAGUGUCUUCUGGAGACCAUGGGAUACUGCACUCGUGAACACACAGCAGCUAUGGUUGCCUGCACAAGACCGGCACAAGAUCAAGGCAAUCAACAUUCCGGCAUAGACAGGCAAGGGCUCGAGAGCCCCCACCCCAACUGAGGAGCUAUGAACGGCUUCUGCGAGAGAAUCUUUAAAGAAUCGUAUUUCUUUAAAGAUGCGACUCCUGGUGGGUUGACCUCAUUUGAGUGGAUGGCCAAUUCCCAUAGGGAUAUGAACAGAACUGUUGGG